AGCUGCUCCGCCUAGGUUAAGGAUUAACAUGCUGGACUCUGGCCAGUUGAGAAGUUGUUUAACCAGGGAAGCAAACUUGUGAACGAUCACAUGCCCAUCACUGCCUCUGCUGCUUCUCCGUUUAGCUUUGCACCAUGCAUGUCCCGCCUGAGCUAUGGCUUAACCGGAAGCUUGUGUAGUUCUGGAGGAGCUGUCCGUCUUUCUGACGGCAUCAACCCCAGUAAACUAGUGUGGACCACAGGUCCAACGGUAACAAGAAUGACGAGGAAACAUCUGUGCAAGUAACAUUACACAUCUGAAGAUGAGCACGGGGCUGCUUUCAUGGAUAUGGAUCUUAUACAGCAAAAGGGGCUCAGCAGGCAGGAUAGCCGACCGAUACCUACAGCCACCACUAUUAUUUUGGGACACCAUCAGCUGUGUCUAAAUCAUGAAAAGCUUGUAAGUGUAUAACACAUAAAAUAAACCACCAGGGAGAAAGGUAAAGACACA
rnacentral:lncRNA from 1 species